rnacentral:rRNA from 1 species
GUCUACGGCCAUGCCACCCUGAACAAGCCCGAUCCCAUCUGAUCUCAGGAGCUAAGCAGGGUCAGGCCUGGUUAUUACUUGGAAGGGAGACCACCUAGGAAGACCAGGUGCCGUAGGUG